rnacentral:lncRNA from 1 species
AUUUUGCAGAACUGGACAAUUCAUGGACUCUUUUGGGGAAGCUAUAAAAUACAUCGACCCGUUGUAGUUGAAGAUUCUUUGAAGGAGCUCGUAUCCUGGCUGGCACGGGGAUUAAUAACCAUAAACAUUUCCCAUACUUUCAGCCUCUCAGAGGUCAGAAGCAAGCAACCCUAUUCUCUUUUGCCCGACUAGUUCCUUGACUAUGUAAAAGGAAUUCGAAUUUUCUAUGUGUAUCUUACAUGAGUGCUUACGUAAGUCUGUUAUGAUUAUAAUUAAGGAUAGAAAACCAGGCAAUAAUUGUAUCAGAAAUCUAAAUUCUCGUACCAGCAUUCUCAUUUUUUAUCAAAUCUUGGAAAAGAGCAUGUUGAUAUUACAUUAUUUCAGUUGAUACUUGAUUUUAAUCUUCCUCUCCGUCCUGCUUGCUUGGAAUAAUAGAUGAUUAAAUCGAAUGUGUCCUGAUCUAAGCUGUUUGUGGUGACAGGCGAAUCUUGCUUUUGCUGCCUUGAAGGGUAGAAAAGCAAUCGGGAAGGUGAUGAUUGCUUUCGAAGAUCACAAAGGUGAAAGAUCUAAGCUUCAAUUGGCAAACAAUCUGACAUGGAAUAGAGAAAUUUUUUCAAAUAUUUAACAAUUGUAAGUAUCCAAAU